CAGCAGCCGCGGGAAUACAGAGGGUGCAAGCGUUAAUCGGAAUUACUGGGCGUAAAGCGCGCGUAGGUGGUUUGUUAAGUUGGAUGUGAAAUCCCCGGGCUCAACCUGGGAACUGCAUCCAAAACUGGCAAGCUAGAGUAUGGUAGAGGGUGGUGGAAUUUCCUGUGUAGCGGUGAAAUGCGUAGAUAUAGGAAGGAACACCAGUGGCGAAGGCGACCACCUGGACUGAUACUGACACUGAGGUGCGAAAGCGUGGGGAGCAAACAGGAUUAGAUACCCCCGUAGUCCCUGUAUCUUAUAA
rnacentral:rRNA from 1 species